rnacentral:lncRNA from 1 species
CCUGCAAUGUCAAUCAGAAAUAAUGGACACAUUAUCAUUCAUCUUAAUGAGAGGUUAUAAUCUAGUUAUCUCCAUAACUAGCUCAUUUUAUGGACCUAAUAAUUUAGAAGAUUUAAGAAUUAAUUUAGAGAAGAGAUGCAAAGAGAUCAACCAGUAAACCAUAAUCCUCCCACUGACUUCACUAAGUCAUUGAAUUGGAUCAAGAUCAU